rnacentral:rRNA from 1 species
AUUGAACGCUGGCGGCAGGACUAACACAUGCAAGUCUAACGAGUGGCGGAUGGGUGAGUAAUGUUUGGGAAACUGCCCGAUGGAGGGGGAUAACUACUGGAACCGGUAGCUAAUACCGAUUACCAUCGGAUGUGCCCAGAUGGGAUUAGCUUGUAGGUGAGGUAACGGCUUACCUAGGCGACGAUCCGUAGCUGGUCUGAGAGGAUGACGAGCCACACGGGAAUUUAGACACAAACCAGGCUCCAACGGGAGGCUGCAGUGGGGAAUAUUGCACAAUGGGCGCGUGACUGAUGAAGCCAUGCCACGUGUAUGAAGAAGGCCUUCGGGUUGUAAAGUACUUUCAGCGGGGAGGCGUUACCCGCAGAAGUUGCACCGGCGAACUACGUGCCAGCAGCCGCGGUAAUAC